rfam:Eimeria maxima Weybridge genomic scaffold, Emw_scaff74
GGUUCUAUGGUGUAGUGGUUAGCACUGCGGACUCUGAAUCCGCCGACCUGGGUUCAAAUCCCAGUAGGACCU